UGCAGCGAAGCUGAGCCCCGCGUUGGCAGAGCGGGGUGUCUGCAUGCACGCGUGCCGCAACGGCGGCUGCAGGAGGAAUAAGCUGGAAAGCUGCUGCUUUGGCAACACGGAUUCUGGCUCUCAGGCCCAGGAGAAAAUGCAGUGGGAGAGAUUAGCUGCUCUUCGCACUCUUACAACUCCUUUUCCAAGAAGACACUCCCUUGCCAAGGCUAAUAAGUGAAUCCUGGUGCAACCUCAGGACAAGUAAUUAUCAUCAUUGUCAUAUUAGGCCCCAAAACCCAGAGUCCUGCCCUAGAUGGUUCUCCUGCUAAUGACUAGGAAAAUGCCAGACGUAAGGAAAUCGGGCCGCGGAGAGCGAAGCGCCUGGCGUUCCUCCUGGGAUCCUCUCCCGUUGGUCAGAAGUGGAUCUUCCUUGUCCUGCAGCGAUGAAGCCGCAUCUGAAAACGUGCCCGGUGGCUGCGGACUGGCAAACGGCACUGACUGUGCACUGACCACCAAUGGUCAGGAGAGAUGCAAAGAGAGGACGAGCACGAGGUACCAUCGUACCUUCACUGGUUCAGCCGGGCAGUCCAUGUUAAAAUAACCGUCAGCACCAUCCAAAGCACCUCCUGGGGACGGUGUGCCAGCAGAGAUGGGGUGGGAGCAGACAGACGUGUCCCCGUUCUGCCCGUGAUGCAGGUGUAGGUUGGGGCUGCUGCCUGACCUUGGCAGAUCCCCCUCCACACGUGUAGGAGGAGAACAUCUCCCUCCUCCUUGUUUCACCAGUGCCGUUUUUGGAGCAGUAGGGCUUUUAAGUGGCUCCCUGUUCACUAAGAGUUAAGGGGACUGUGCGGCUUUGAAGAUAAGAAACAGAUGAUAAAGGUUAGAGGAGGGAUCGUGUUACCAUUAUGCAGCCUGUAAAUGCAAACUAAUUAGAAUGCAGCCCUUUUCCCGAGAAAAUGCAAAGGAAGAGAAAGUAAAAAACUCAUUCCCCUGACCCCAAAAGAAGCCGAGUGAGCAGUAAAGACCUGAGACUGUAGAAUAACUCAGCUUUGCUGGUGAGUUUUGCCCACAGCUAGAAAAUGCGCAUCAGCCGAGGUGCGUGUGUCCACGCAUGCAAGGUUGCUCCUCAGCACGCUCUUCCCGCUGCGCUGCAGGAAUGAAGGACAUGGAUCCUCUCGAGUGAAGGUCUCUGGCCGGUGCUGUAAGGAGGCUGGAUGAUGGUAACAGCUCACGGUGUGCUUCAAAGCCAGGAUUCAGCGUGGGACAGGACUGAUCCGCUCCCAGGUGAGGUUGUCAAGGCUGCUCACUGCCUGUGAGCUCUGGGCCCGUAAGAAAGACUUAUUUUUUUUCUUUUUAACCUAAAUGCAAAGCAGUUUCCCUCAAUGAAGCGGCUGUCUCGCAGGCCUCUGGGCCCGGCUCGUGCCGUCAUCUCCGGGUGCCUGGGCUCAGCCUCCCCGUCCGUUUCGGAGGCCGAUGGGUUUCCGUGCCACCGUGGUGCUGUGCCGCUGGGACAACGGCAGACAGACCUCCACGAAGGCCUCCGCAGAGCAAACUGCCUAAAGCCCGGCAUAUUUCUCUUGGACGAGGCGCAGGGCUCAGCCUGCCCCACCGGGAACCUCGGGCGAGCCGGCAGCCAGCGGGCUGCAGCACCGAGCGCCCGGGAGAAACUUCCAGCUCGCCGUGUCGGCUGUCGAACGGUGCUGAGGUCCCUAACCGCUGCUCCGAAGCAGGAGCAGAGAGAGGACUUGAGUCACAGCAGGCCUUGGGCACAAACCCGGAGUUUGCAGUCCAAGGCUUUGGUCUUCGCCCGUGUUUUGCUCGCCCGGGAGGACGCGAGCACGUGCCGGGCGAGCAGCGAUGCCGCCUCCCUCCGCAGGAUGCUGCUGCCGUGGAGCCUUCCCCCAAGGGGAAAGCAUGUUCUCCCUCCGUGCAGCACCGGUGACUUCAACUUUUAAAAAUAAGCAAAGGUUUCAGCACAGCCCUGCACGCGAUGUCUAGCCAAAAUGCAAAACUUUACCACAGUGCACAAGUGGGCUGUGUUUUUCAGACCAGGGAACAACGUUAGGGCCCUUUCAUCACCUUUCUUUUGCACUUCUUUUAAACAUGAUUUAAAUUGGAGGCAAUAGUAUUGAACCUCUGACACUCGGGCAAGGCUCUCUGGAUCGUAUGCUUAAGCUGCAUCCAUUUUCUGUAGCCGCUUUGCUUGGAGCCCUCGUGGGUUUUUUCCUAUGCAUUUGUUCUUUCCGCUCUGUUUGCUCUUUGUGUCAUCCUGGUGAGAUUUCAUUUAAUUUCUUUUACCUCGGCAUAGGAGGGAGAACCGGUGACCGCCGGGGCUUCAUCGCUAAACCCUGCUGCUGCAGCACUCCAAAAAACAAGGCUCGCUUUCAGCGCGGUUCGAACAGCAGCGCUCGGGAGGCCGCGCCGACCCCUCCGUCCCGCUUCUGCCGCUGAGGAAAACGCGCAGUGGCAGCGAGUCAAAUCCAGAUUGCUCAGCAGAAAGGAAAAACGAGCUUGGAAGCUGCCCUGGAAGCGGCCCAGGCAGCAAGGCCGCGCGCGUGGGCGAGGGCGGCCGCCUCGUCUUGCGGCCGACGCGGGGCCGGAGCCGCUGGCUGCCACGCGGGACGCGGCCCGCCGUGGUCGGAGCCCUCCUGAAUCAGCUGCACGAAAAUACUUGUGGGCAGCAAAAAUAGCCGGCGCUGAAACCCUGCGUCUGCGGAGGGUGGAAACGGCUGGGAGUUCCUCGCCGGCUGCGGCCGCUCGCUAUAACCCGUGUCGUAAAUAAGACGGGGUGUCGCGGUGUGCUGCGGCCGGCCGUGUCCCCGCCGGCAUCCCGGUGUGGCCGCGGGAGCCGUCGCUGCCCGAGAAACCUUUCGGAGAAGGAAGAAACCAAGCGGCAGCGUGCGUUUCUCCACCGCACCAGGGCGGUGGCACAGGGGAGUUCGCCCAGAAUUGCCCGGAAAGUAUCCAAAAUAGCCCAAAGUUGCUGCUUUGAAGCCCUUCUGCAGCCUCCCUGCCCCUCGUGCCCUGAACACUAAGGUCAUUUCUGCGCCAAGCUCUGGCAGGCCUCAGUGGGAAGGCAGCCCGCGGCGGUGGCUCCGUUCACGGCACUUUUGCAAAGCAGAGUUCAGCCCUACGGCUACGUAGCCGUGCCGUGCAAAUGCGUGCAAACCCGAAUUUUGGAUCAGCUGGCAAGACGCAGCUAAACCAUAUAAUCUGGAGCCAUUAAGGUGAAUGUUAGUGCCGUGUAAAGCUCCCACUCGUUUGCACGGGGCAGCUCGUCGAGCGGGACGCUCCAGCGGAACUGGAGUCGCCCUCCCCGUCGGUGAGGAACGGGCCGCCCCAUCCACCAGCUCCAGGUGCUAUUCCCUCCGGCGAGCAUCGCGGCAGGGCCCCGGACGGCGCUUUUGCCUGUUUGAAGCACCCGGGCGCGCGUGGAUGGAGCAGAGCGGGCCCCGGGCUCGCGCGCCUGCAGCCCUCUGUCCGUCCUGCCCCAGCGCGGGAGAGCGGCUCCGUGCCGGUGCCGGUGCCGGCCGGGCGGCAGCCAGCAGAGGGAGAGUCGGAGCGCCAGGCCCUGCUCCUGCCGGGCUCUAUUUCCCAGGAGCCGGCGGCUGAGCAGCUCCGAGCUGUCGCUGCAUCGGAGCAGCUGCAAGGACGCGCUUUGCUUCCCGCUGAGCCGUGUCCCGUGCCGGACGCGGGGCCGGGAGCGCCUGGUGCCGGGCCGCGGUUCCCGAUAGCGGUGCAAAGCAGCAGCCCGAAGGGCGCGAUCGCAAGGUGAGCGCGACGGGAGCUUCCCGCGGCUCCCGGGCGGGGUGGCCGGGUGCUGCCCCUUCCCGCUGCCGCCCCGCCGCGGGCAGCUGCAAUUAGCCCCUUGUUGUUACAGAUGUUUGCAGCUUUCCACGUCAGCUCCACGUUUGGCUCCCCUUCUGUCCUAAUUGAGACCAGAAAUCCAAUUAGACAAUAAUCCCGUCCUUUUUGAAGCCGCUGGCCGCAGCGUCACAUGAGCCGGCUCCGCGGCCAUCGGGCCAGCAACGGGAGCAACUGGCAGCAGCGAAACCCCCGGCGCGGCUGAUGGGGCGCGGCGGUGAGAUCCGCAUCGGGGACCGGCACGAGCCGGGCUCCGCCGCUCGCAACAGCAGAUGCUCAGACAAGGGGCCGUAGCGUGCAUGGCUUUGUUGCUGUUCCUGAUCAGGCACAAGGGUUCUUGCAGAAGUGACAGCUGCUGCCCGAAGCAGCUCGUUUUUAUUUGCACAGAUGCGCAGGGUGAAGGGAGGUGGCAGAGGUUUGAGCAAGCGCCCUGAAAGAAGCAUGUUAGAGGUGGCAUUUCCUUGACCUGGAGAUCUCGGGGCCGGCUAUGAGCAGCUCCGGCUUAACGCAGGCUGGAGCCUCCCAGCACCUGACCCAGACCUAGCCGUGAGGCCUGCCGGGGAGAGCGGCCCCGGGGCUGCCGUCGCUUAGGGGCCUCCUGAAUACGAACUGUCCCAGAAAUUGCUUUUCUUGCAAUGCAUUCAGUAUGCCUGCAUGUUAUAUAGUCUUCCUUUGAGAGUAUAUAUGUCUCUAUCUACACACACGUAUGUGUGUACGCGUGUGCUUUUGGUCUAGUUCACUCUAGUUUUGCAGUGACUUUGAGGAGUCAAUCAAGAUGCGUCGUCAUUGUGCUUAGAGUAACGAUGGAGUUAAUGCUCAUCCGUCGGGCUUGGGCGUUGGGGGCUCAGCGCUCCCCGAACCCGGGAGAGGUCAGCCGCGCUCACCAGGAGCUGCGAGGGGCUCGUGCGAGCCGCUUGCCGGGUGAUCGCCCCAGCACCAUGCCUACAAAACCAAGCUGCUGCCGAAAAAUCAAAUCCAGUCCAGUUCCUGGGCUUUCUGCUGAGAAGGCCAAGUGCUGGUUUGCGCAACCGUUGCCUUGCAGCAAACGCGCUGCUUUGAGUCCGGUAUUAACCACGGUCUUGAGCUGGGGCUCUGAGCGUGUUGCAGGGAGUUUUUCAGACCAGGAGCUCUGCGAGCAGGUUCCUCGGGAAGCUCAGAUUAGCUGCAUCUCCCUCCGCUCCGGCCGUCUAGCGACAGAAAAACAGGAAGCUGCACCAAAUUAGCUGCGCGGCGGAGCCUCCCCAAAGCCACAGCACGGCAAUCACGGGCACCACUCAGCUGCUUUUAUCCUGCCCUGCAGCAGCUGUGCAUUAGGCCAGCAGUUUGAUUUGGUGUCUCAGGCUGCUACUGUGGAGGAAAGCAAGAAGGGAAAAAGAAUUAAGGGGAGAGGUUUAGAGCUCAAGGCCUCCCAUUGCAUUGUUUUCAUCCUCUUCCCAUCCUGUAAAAAGAAGCAAAAAUAGCUCAAACUCCAUUUUUCUCCGCAAUUAAAUUAAGGCUGAAGAAAUGAGAGAAACAGCAUCAUCCGACUCCUGAUGGUUUUAUGCCUCACUGGACAAGUCGUGUCGACUCCAUGAAUUAAACUGCUCUGUUGGAGUUGGGCUCCAGCCGAGGGCUGAAGGAUGAGUUUGCUGCCAGCAGGUUUCCGUGGGGGAUACAGCUAUGGUCAUGUUGUACCGCCCAUGGUUUGGAGCAUCACACGUAGGAGUGCUCAUUUUGGGGUGUCUGUGGUGUCUCUCCAUAUUUGAAGCAGAUUGUUAGAGACGGGAUGUAUGGUAUAGUGUGUCCUCUCUGUCCUUCAGGCUUCGUAGCUGCUCUGUCCCUUUGCUGCUUUCCUCGAUCCAAACUGGAAGUAGCCUGAGUAGACUGGGGUUCUGUGGCUGUGGGGUUUUUUUUUGUCUAAUAAGAAACCCCCCGCAUAACCUAACAAAAUAUAAUUCUUUAAGAUAUCAAGUAUGUUUUCCUGGGGACAGGUAUCAACAGCAUCACUGGUGGAAAGGACGUUCCCUGACCCGGUGGACCAAUGUUUGCAUGAUUCGCAUGAUGACCCGGAGGCAACUGAGAAGGUUUAUAAAAGACAAUUAAAUAACAAUGUCUAGUAACACAAGCCACUCUGUGCUGGGUUAGAAAGGAACAAUUUGCCCCAGAUGGGCACUGGCAAUUUAAAGGCAGUACAGGAAAUGGCAUUUGAGUGGAAAGGCCUGGGGUGAUGCCUGGGGAGAGCACGUGCUCUUACACGUUCAGUGGUCCUUCGGAGCUGGUGGUGUGCCAGCUCCUGUCUCCUAAGCAGGUCUUCACAGCUCUGAUUUGUGUUUCUCAGGGUAUCUUGGCAUGUCUCUAUGUCCUGGUGGAAAACAUAAGCUCUUCCAGAGCCCGUCACUGCAAGGAGUUGGCUGUCUGAGAACUGCUUGAUAGCAGACGUGCCAGGAGAAAGCUGGUUUUGUUGGUAGACAACCAUCCAGACAUGAAAAAAUAACUGUUACUGCAUUUUAAUUCCCCCAAACAUUGCUUAUUGCUGGAAGCCAACCUCUCGGUGCCCCGAGCGUCCCUCCUCCCUGUCGCACAUGUCCCUCGGGGCCCGGGCUCGCACCCGCAGCGAGAGGCUGAGAUCUCCUCGGAGGAGAAGCAGCCAAAAACGAGGAGGGGAGGCCGUCGGGGCUGGCCGUGUCCGUCUCACGGCCCAGCGUCCUUGGCCCCCCCAGGGCUCUCAGGAUGUGUGCUGCUCUGGUUAUGCACUUAAUAGCUACCUAGCCAGAGUGCUGGGCAUUUCAGCACCAAAAAUGAAUAUUUAGCUUCUCUCUCAGACAGGACUUGAGGUGGGUGGCAAACGGGCAGGAACAAGACUCCGCAUAAUAUAAUAUUAUGUGUAUUUAAAAGAUUGAAACGGGCCCAAAAUCCCCCUGUGGGUCUGUAGCACUGGCAUUUGGCUGGUGUGCAAACCUGCUCCACGGGGCUGCAGGGAAGCCAAGCUUGCGCAGAAGGUCCUGGAAAAGCGAUUCAGGUCAGAGGAACCACUGCAGCUGGCACGCAGAAAUCUUGCUAUUCCUGCUCCGUGGACUGUGUUUGGGGGUAAAAACACAGCCAGAGGCAGGAAGAUCGGACAGGAGUUUGCAAUGGCUGUUGGAAACGGGGGCAGCGCGUUGCUCGGAUGGAGGCGCGGGCAGAGGUGCCGGCGAGCCCCGUCCCGCGGCUGGAGCUCGAGCAGACGAGCCCUAUUUAUUACUGCUGCCGGUGCUGCGUGCGUUCGAUUUAUUUUUGCACGCCUCAAGCGCAGGCCUCCCUGAGCACCGCACACGUUGCUUGAGCUGCACCGGCUGAUGGUCCUGCCGCGGGCAUGAUGCAUCCCUGCAAAAAUCACGGUUAUCCUGAGUUUGCUUUUAGCUGCGUUUUGGUGAAGCCGUAGGCCUGCUGGCUGCGGAUUUCUCCGAUUGAACGCUAACUAUGCGUAUUGGUGAUUUAAAUACAGCCUCAAUGUUUAUUUUGGGGGAAAAAAAAGAAAAAAAACAGAGGCAGUGGAAGGGUUGGAAAAACGCUCGGGCAGGGAGGGACUGGGCGUGUGGCGGGUCCCGGCGCGUCGAAGCUGGCGCUGGGGAGCAGAGGCAGAUCCCCCCGCCGGCCCCUCCUGUAUCGGCAUCCUCGGGAAGCGGGGAUCAGGACUGGGACUGGGACCAGGACCAGGACCCAAAGCCGUUGCUCAGGGCCUGUCUCUCAUCUCGGCUGCCGCUGCCAAUUCCUCGCGCGGCUUUGGGCAAAACGAGCGACACGAAGCGGAAGCCCUCGGGAGAACCAGAUUCCUCCCCGGCCUUUCAAUUAGCUUCUAAUCCCUUCGCGCUCAUAAAAUCUCAGCUGCAGGCUGCCCCGUUCGUGUGUCUCCACCGGCCGCGAAAGCCGCCUCCCUGAGCAUCCGUCGGUGCGGUUUAGGCUGCAACCCCGGGCUGUGCCAGCGGCCACACCUCUCCCCAAAGAACAUGUAAUUGCAAACGGUUUUUUUCUUUUUUUCCCCUUUCCUCCCAUUUAACGUAAAACAAGCAGACAUCCGUCACCAUCUUCUGCUCGGGCUCUGAUGCAAACUUUUUUCCACCUGGCAGAGUUAGAUGUUCAAAAAAUAAAAAUAAAGAAAAAAAAGGCAGGCGGUGGAGGUAUUUUUAAACGCAUGACACAGAGGAGAGUGACACACUCGGUGUUCUCAGUGGGUGGGUGCAGUGUUAUUUCAUGUUAUUCUUGUCGCUGGGCCCAGCAUUACCAGCGUGCACGUUAUUAGCCGCAUCUGAUAAUAGCGCAGGGCCAUGGGUGGCCGCGGGGCCGGGGGCCACGGGCUCGCCGCCCUCCCCCGGCGUUUCUGCUCGGCGGCCGGUGCUGCUGCGAGCCCGUCGUCCCGUGUCCGUCUGUCCGUCCGAGGGCUUUGCCGGUGCUGGCUUCUGGUGAUGGAGGGAGCAGGGGCCACAUGCAGACAUGCGCGUACGCACACGCACAGCAUGGGAAGCGGGGAAGUGAGGAUGAAGGUGGCCGAGGCUGAAGCUGGCCAACACCUGACGGGCUCGCCAGCCCCUUGUACGCGAACUCCCGGUUUUAUAGCCCUAUAAAAGGCAGCUGACAGAAGAGGUUCCGAUUUUGGAGGCUCCAGCUGAGCUGGGAGGAGCCGGCACCGUCUCGCGGCGCCGGAGCCGCGUCUGCUGGUGCCGAGCCUCGGCCGUGACGUCAGGGCGAGGGACCGGGCCGGGAUUCCCGGCGUGCCAGAGGGCAGGACCGGCGCGCUCGCCCGAGCCGUCGCCUCGACCCCUGCCAGCAGCUCCGAGUAGCUGCUUUCCUGGCUCGCCUCGCUGGAGACUCUGCGCAAUGCUUGGACGGGCUGCCCAGCGCCGGCGCAGCUCCCUCCGGCUCCGGAUUUGCGGCUGCUUCGCUGCAGACGCAGCAGCGCGCAGGGAAGGCCGAGGCCGGCGGGAGCCCGGCACCCGCCGAGCGCCUGGGUCUCCGGCUGCCUCCAACACCCGCGCGCCAGUGCUGCUCGGAGCUGGUGCAAAGCGACGCGGCUCCGUGGGCUGGGCCACAGCUGACUUUGUUCCCUGCUUACGGCCUCUUCCACUUGCAGGCUUGCUCUCUCUGCCCUGCCCGCUUCUCGCCAUGUGCACUCAUGGGUUUCCUUUUCGUUAGAUACCUGAAAUACCUUCCUGGAGCCAGGCCAGGCGGCUUGGCUCAGGUACCUUCUCACGCUUGCUGCUUUCUUGUGGCUCGCUGCCACGGUCUCCGAGGGCGAGCUCCUGGUGGGGCCAUUGCAGAAAGGCAACGAGGGAGGAGGACGGGCCCAAACCAGGGGCACAGGGAUGGCAGCAGAAGAGCCACCUUCCUGAACUGGGGAGGUUUCAAAUAGGGGCGGCAGCAGGGCUGGGGCAUCUCUUCUCUUGACCCGUCGUGUCCCAGGCGGGCAGGGAAGCAUCGGUGCUGGCAGGUGGUCUCCGGGGCCAAGGUUACAGCUGGGGACUGUCACAGAAAGUUGGUUCUAGCUGCAACAUUAGCUGGUGUGGAGAUUCGCUGAUGGAUGCAGGGAUGCUUCGUGGCCAUCGUGAUCAGACUCAUCCCUGAGUUACGAGCUCGUCUCCCGGACCACAGAGAAACCAGGGAACUGUCCUCCUCGUCCCACAGCGAGGAGAAGCCAUGGUAUGGUGCAAGUGAUGCCCUCUGACAGACAAACAUCUUUUUAAAGAUGUUUCUGCUAAAUCCUAUAAGAUGUGGAUGGAGCAAACCCAUUGGAAAUGUUAGACUGUGACAGCUCUGCUCUGUAAAGCUGAAAAUUGGGGGAAAUUGGUCUUUUGGCUUGUUUCCAUAUGUACGAAGGGGAACUUGGUAUAAAGCUCAGCACAUGGGAUGUGCUGCUUUGUCACCUGUUAUCUGCCUGGAAAAGCCAAAUCAUCUCCGAGGGCUCCUCUGCCUCUUCUGGGCGUUAUGUCACUGUGAAAGCAGAGAAAAAGUAAAAAGCGAGGCCCAUGUGUUCCCUUUCUCCCACUUCGCCUACUCCAAAAUCUCCUUGGUGCUCCUACUCCUUGAUCCCCCACCAAGACCAAUGGAUCCUGGCUCUUUUUUUAUGGAGACUCCCCACCGAGGUAGACGCUAGUUAAAAGGUUACUACCCAGCUGUGAAAUAUGUAGACAGGGUAACAGCUAAAUGGCGGAGUGACCUCAUAUCUCAUAUUUAUUGACUAAAUGUGGCUUGAACUAGUCACCACUAGUAAAAUAAACCACAGCCCCAAGUACUGCAGGAAUAUUCCAUGGCAGACAGACUCCUGAUUCCUCGUCACACGUUCUCUUUCACUUCAGUUAAAAAAAAAAAAAAAAAAAGGAAAAAAAGAGAAAGGAGAAAGAAAGAAAGGGAAAAGCUUUUUUACUAACUUCAUUUCAUUUACACUUUAGGUCCUACAGAAACCCUUUCAGUACAAGCUUGCUUUUUCCAGUAAGAAGAGCUGCAAAUCUCUCUGAGUUUGCACUGGAAGAGAGAGCGAGAGGGAAUGAGCCCUGUGGAUCACGUUCUCGCCAACAUCCACCUCAAGGCAAAGCUUGGUCAAACUAGGCUAGGUGUGUUAGACUUCCAGAGAGAGAGCUGGGGUCAGACAGCCACUCGUGACACCGGUGUCCAUCACACUUGCUAUCAUGGGCCUGAGAAAUAGCUAUGAAAAAUCAGGGGACUCUCUCAGGUGUGGGCUGCAUAAGGAAAUUAAUGUGGUAAGAAGGUAAAGUGAUUCAUUUCUGACUUUUCCAGUGAAUUGAACUCAUUCAGUACUAGACAGGCUUUCCAGAAGAAGAGCCUCUUGAGCUAGCCUAACUGCAGCUGUAGGCACGGCCUCUGUCGCGGAGAACCUGGAGAGGCCAAGUCAUGAGCACUGGGAGACCCGUAAAGGCUCCUGGGGUACCGUUUACACGCAAAGCCGUGGCCCCUUGGCUUCCCUCAUCCCACCAGGUCACUGGCCCAUUUCUCAUUGCCUUGUGACCCAAAGGCCGGCGGGUGCUGAAAACCAACUGCGUCGUAGCUCAUUAGCUCACGGUUGUCUGCGGGUCCCCAAGGGGCUGGUGGAAGCCCUGUGCCACAAUAACGGUAGUCUGGGCUGGAAAAGCCACAGCGCGUUGCAGGUGUUGCUAUAACGUACUGCCUGGGAUUACCUUUUCGGUCAAAAAUUAUGAUGCAGUGUUUCCCUUUGGAGAUUUACAUGCACAUUGGGGGGAUACCGAGUAUUGGAAAAAAGACCAACUUGGCACCAAGACGGGAUACAGAUGUUACAACUGUGAGCCCACGUCAACGCCGACUGUAAACUUCAGCCAUCCUGCAAUCUCAGGGAGCCUAACAGCUCUACGUGGCUGACUUUUAAUACAGUAAUGAUGCAGAAAUCCCCUCUCUCCCCCCAUUUCUCAGUUAAACUAUUACAGAGACUCAAAAUUCAAGGGCUGGUUGUGAGACACUGCUUAUUUUGAGGUCACAGGUGAUAGGCCAUCUUGAUAAGGGGACCUGUCAAAAAUAUUCUUGAUCAUGUCACCUGGGACCUUAUGUUAAUUGUUAUUGUGGUUAGUUUUUCUAAGCUAAUACGUAGAUCGAUAACAAGGGUCAGAGAAAGGAGAGGAAAUUGCCUUUUUAAUGCUCUGUAGAGAUAACAGUGUCUUUUUGCUGCAGGAAAUUUUGCCAGCAGAGAAUCUACAGAAGUGUCUUUCCCUGCUGAUGUGGCACCCCUUUGUCCAUAGAAAAUAGGGUCACUGAGGCUGAAGCCCUCACUUUUCCAAUUGUAGAAAAACAAAAUAGGUCUCUUACUAUCUAUGUUAAUAUUUGGAGAGGGGAAUAAAUAUUAAAAAGUUAUUAUUGCAAAAUACCAUAAUGCUAUCUCAGAAUUCGGUGUUUAAGAAAGCACUCUUGGACAUUCAAAUGGUGAAGCUAGUUGUGUGCUAGUUUUUUUUAAUCAGAAAAGAUAACUUUAUUGCUUGUUUGCACUGAUUAUUCUUUGAUUUUUGUUUAAAUUCCUGUCUGACUUGAGUAGGACACUGGUUUGGUUUGAGUGCCAGCUACCUUGUCUUACCACAUGAAGGACAGGCUUUGUGUGCCAGGACGUAUUUGUGCUGUUUAAUUUCAUCUGUGAUCCUCACUGUUGCACUCUUCAGCAUUGUAACACAGCUUUGGGCUGGGGUAACACACCAUCCUCUGGUUUGGGGCUGAAGCCAUCAUGUUUCAUGGUUUCCACCUGAGGUCAUAAAUCAAGCUGUAGUUGGAUUAAAACUUGGGUUAUAUUCACCGGCAGUUUUGCUACUUUCACUGAACCUUGCAGUGAUUUGGACGUGAGCUGAAGAUUUAUGCUUAUUUGCAGAGCCCACGGUUCCAGGUCAGAGCUUGGACUGAGGCAUUACUAGGGAAUCGCUGCUUCUGCAGACGUCUUUGGUGGCCUCAUCUGAAGCAAGAGACAUGAGGCUUCGAUUGCUAGGAAAAGGCAUCCAGCCCUUGUCUCCCUGCUGAGUCUCCUCCUGAGAAGUGAGUGACUUGAUAGAACAAGCCUGAAAACGCUGAUAUGAACAUUGCUGAGGAAAAUGUGAACUGCCCUCGUUCUUCUUAACUAGGGAGGGCAACAUUGGAGCCUGUAUAUGACCGCGUCAAAAAGAGCAUAUGGGCAGAUCCAAGUGGAAAAUUGGAAGCAGAGUAGAAUACGGGUUUGGCUUAACUUUUCGUUUCUAAUCUCUUCUCACACAGAAGUUACGGAUGGAUGGGAUAUCUUGGGGAAACCCCAGCUCCAUGGCCUGGACAUGAAGAAAGGAGACGUUUCAAAGACUCACAGUGACAGAAGUGCUGGAAGCGAUCGGUGCAUGAGAUGUUCGUCUGCAUCCCGGGAGACACGUGUACUCUUACUGAGUUUGUUCCCCCAAAACUCUUAACCGAUUUCAAAUUACGUAAUUUCAACUUUGCUGCUGUUGUGAACUGGAGGGGAAAUUCGAACUUCCAGCAACAAUGACAACAGAGCUUUAACCUUUCCAGAUUUUCCCAUUAAAACAUUUGGAGGGAAAAAAAGAAACAGGCGCUGUCAGAAACCAGGAGCCUCUAAGCCCGUGACAGUCGGCCCUUCUUUGGGGCGGAUUCGCCCAGUGCUGGAUUUGGGAUAGGAACCACAAAGCCAUUUCUCACUCUGCCUCGCCGGAGCUUCUCCUGUGUUUGUUUGGGAGACAGAAAUAGCUUUUGCUGAGAGGAUGAUGAGGUUACGCAUCCUGAGCUGUCCUGGUCUCUAAAACUAGACUCACCCGUUUCAAAAGGAUUCUGCAGGUUUCCGGAGUCCACGUGGAUGUUUUGGAGGUCCUGCCGUAUGUGGCAUCUCUGCAGAGGUGAGAACAACUCAGCAGAUGCACUCGCCUGUGGAUCAGUCCCUACCUUUCUCCUGCUCAAAGACCAUGCAGAAAGCAAGAAUCAAGCGACUGAAAGAUUUAUGUUGGAACUAGAUCCCCAUGGAUCAGAACCUCCCAGCACAGUCGGACUUGUACCAAACAUAACUUCAGUCACCCACCCUUGGGAUGGAAACAGGCAGAGCAAACAAUGAAACAAGACUGUUUAUAAAGCCUUCAACACAUUAGGCAGUGGAGAAGAGCCCAAGUUUCCAUGUAAAGGCCUGAAUGGACAAGAAUGACGUGAAGCACAUGGAAAAUAUGGAAAAUGUGGAAUAAGUAAUAAAAUUAUAAAUAAAACAAAUACAAUAAAUUGGGAA